GGGGACCGCCGGACAGUUCGUGAGGUGUUGGCCCUCGCAAAAGCCAAUUCCCCGGGGCUGAUCUUCCUAUCAGAAACACAUCAAGCCUCUAGCCAGAUGGAAAAACUUAGAAGGAGACUAAAUAUGAAGGGUUUUGCGGGUGUGUCCAGUACUGGCCUCAGUGGAGGGCAUGCAUUAUAUUGGGAUGAAAACCUGCAAGUAACAGUACUUGAUUCAUGUGCACGGUAUAUAGAUGUGAGAAUUGUUGACAAUGCUAAUGACAAAACUUGGAGAACUACCUUUGUGUACGGUGAACCAAGAGUUGAACACCGUCACCGCAUGUGGAGUGCUUUGUCGAGCUUGCGGGCGUCUUCGACGGAACCGUGGCUGGUAUGUGGUGACUUCAACGAAGCAAUGUGGCAAUAUGAACAUUUUUCUCAGUCGCCUCGGUCGGAGAAUCAAUUGCUCCUAUUCUGA
rnacentral:rRNA from 1 species